AUUGUCAUUGUUUUUGGACUGGGGAUAGAAACAGUACCCACUUCGUAAGAUUGUUAUGAGGACACAAUGAAAUAACUCAAGUAGAAUCCACCUAGUGUGAUGUAAACACUCAAUAGAUAUCAGUUGUGCCCACAGCUUAAGGAGACACAACCUGUUGAAUAUAAGCCAAUGAUAAGGAGCCCCUGAAUUAAUGAUAACCAUUAUGAGUAAAAAGGGGGCUUGAUUUAUGAAUUAAUAUUCUACCUAACUUUUGGCAGGAAGAUGGCCACCAAGAGAGCAAGGUAAGCCUGCUAUGAGUUGCCUGGGAGUCAGGCAGUGGGCAACUGCUUUGUCCCAAGGAGCUUGUCCAGUCUGCCACGAGAUGGAAAGCCAUCUGGCCCAGGCAGGGUCACGGGUCCUCAUGUGACUCCCAGAGCCUGCUUAGGGAGCUGUGAGAGGUAGAAAUCCUCCCCCAAGUAGGACCCAGGCUCCCAGUUUCAAAGACAAUGUCCUUUUUAUAUCCAUCCAGUGCCUGGGCCAGGACCUGAUCAUAUGCCUGUUUGGAUUGAGGGCAAAGGGGAGAGAGGGCCAGGAGGGAGAGGAUUAAGAAUUACCCAAGUCCCAGAAACAUGACCGGAAACAGACCUCAGGACUAGAGUGUGACAAAAGAAAAGUAGCUGGAGAAAAGCUGUGUCUGCAGGAGGGAGAAGGGAACCAGCCAUAACUGGGCUGUGGGCUGUAAGUCUUACACACAUUCACUAUGCAUGGAAACCCCUGGGAGGAUGUAGCAGAAAUGGUGUUUGAGUCACAUGGCUUAUAAAUGGAGAAGGUGGGCUUUGAACCUACGUUUGUGGGUUCCAGAGCCUGUUUUUCCAACUGAUGGUGCUGGUCAGUACCUCGGGGGAACACAGCCCAAACAGAAAUCUCCCAAGACUUACUUGGCAUUCUGCUAAGGGAGGGUUCAUUGUGUUGGGAAGACCCCAAUACUCAGGUUCCCAGAGAGGAGAUUUCUGUGGUGGGUCAAGGUUAGUGUGCUGUGGUUUUGUGGGCAAUGCCUCCAGAUGCUCUGUGCCCUUGACUCUCAUUCUGUGUUCAUCUUCAGAUUAAAUUUAGUUCCCAGGCAUCUUGUUAGCAGGAAGAGGUGUCCCAGAUAUAGACUUACUUGUUCCUGUUCCUGGCAAGGCCCACUUCCCAUCAUGACUGACAGGUUUUGGAUAGUGCGGGAUAAAGGAAAGAAUAUAGAUUUCAGAGUCCAACUGGCUCCACUCAUUAGCCUGCAAGUUCCUUAACCUCUGUAAGCUUCCGUUGCCUUCCUUAUCUGUAAAAUGGGGGUUAAUAAAAUCUACCCUGAGGGAGCUAUUGUAAAACAAACCAACACCUAACUCAGUACCUGCCUUGCUGUAGGGGCAGAUAUUUUUGAAACACAUUAACAUCCUGGUUUGUCAAGCAGUCUUUUGUGAGUUGGUCUUGCAACCAUGGGUAGCAAUGAAGUCAAGGUGAGAAUUCCAUUGAAUUCUAGAGAUCCAGAUUCUAAGAUGCUGGCCCUUGGAAAUACCCUGAGAGAAGCUUGGAGGGCGGGAGGUGGUCUUUGGAAGUUGGUGAGCACAGAGAAGUAUAUGAGAAGGAGAACUAAAGGCCUGAGAGAAGACCCCAGUAGACCAACCAAUCCGAAGGCAAGGAGGCCUAGGUACUCAGGAACGAUAGGGAAGCCACAGUCUGACCAGCCCAGCCUCACCAACCAUCUGCACAUCCAUAACUCCGGGGUAGCUUUGUAAACACAGAUUCCUGGGACCACCCUUGAAAAUUCUCAUUGAGUAGAUCUGGGUUGAGGCCUAUGAAAUUGUAUUUUUCAAACAUUCUUCACUAUAGAAUAGUAUUAUAGUAAGAUAUAUAAUAUAAUAUAUAUAAGUAUAAAAAAAAAUAUAUAUAUGCUUGAAAUACUCUGAACAAAUUCACAACAACUUCUAGCAAUUGCUUACAGGGAGACUGAAGGUAAGGUACAUGAAGGAGACCUCUGUUCAUUUAUACCCCUCUGUGGGAUUGGAAUUUUCCUUAUCAUGUAUAUGUAUUAAAACUGUUACAUUCAUUAAUAUAAUUUAAAAUAUGAUUCAUUGAGGUAAAAUUUACAUACCAUGAAAUUAGCCAUUUAAAAGUGAACAAUUCAGUAUGGCAUUUAGUACAUUCACAAUGUUGUGCAACCAACAACUCUAUCUAGUUCCAAAACAUUACCAUUAUGCCAAAAUAAAGCUCCUUACCCACUAGGCAGUUUCUCCCCAUUGCCUCCUCCUGCCAGUCUCUGGCAACCACCAGUCUUUGUUCUGUCUCUAUAGAUGUGUCUCUUCUGGAUAUUUAAUUUCAUUUUAUAUGAUUUCAUAUCACUGGAAUCAUACAAUAUAUAUUUUGUGUCUGGCUUCUUUCACUUGGCAUAAUGUUUUUUUAAAAAAAUAUAUUUUAUUGAUUUUUUACAGAGAGGAAGGGAGAGGGAUAGAGAGUCAGAAACAUCAAUGAGAGAGAAACAUCAAUCAGUUGCCUCUUGCACACCCCCUACUGAGGAUGUGCCCACAACCAAGGUACAUGCCCUUGACCAGAAUCGAACCUGGGAUCCUUCAGUCCACAGGCCAACGCUCUAUCCACCGAGCCAAACCAGUUGGGGCUGGCAUAAUGUUUUUGAGGUUCAUCUAUGUUGUGGCACACAUCACUACUUCUUUCCUUGUUAUAACCAAAUAAUAUCCCAUCAUAUGAAUAUACCACAAUUUCUUUGUCCAUUCAUCUGUUGAUGGACAUCUGGCUAUUGUGAAUAGUGCUGCUAUGAACAUGCAUGUACAUAUAAUUGUUUGAGUAUCUGUUUUCAAUUAUUUUGAAUUAUCAUAUAGUAAUUCUAUGUUUAACACACACACACACACACACACACACACACACACACGUAUUGAUUUCAGAGAGGAAGGGAAAGGGAGAGAGAGUUAGAAAUAUCAAUGAUGAGAAUCAUCGAUUGGCUGCCUCUUAUACAUCUCCUAAUGGGGAUCGAGCCUGCAUCCUGGGCAUGUGCCCUGACUGGGAAUAGAAUGGUGACCUCCUGGUUUAUGGUCAAUGCUCAACCACUGAACCACACUGGCCGGGCUAUGUUUAACUUUUUGAGGAACCACCAAACUGUUUUCCACAGCAGCUGAAACUUUUACAUCCCAAGUAAUACAAUUUUAAAGGUUCCAAAGAUAUUGGGUACAAAAGAAGGAAAAAAAUAUUCUCUUAAACUACUGUUUUCUAAGUUGAAAAUUUUAAAUUAUUUACUUAAUCUAAGUAGACUUUUGGUACACAGCCUGAUUGGAACCCCUGUUCCACAGUUAGCACAGAGAGUGGGGGCUGGCUCCCCACCCUCCUCCUGCCCAUGUCUUAUUUGUCCUCCGUACACACAGUCACUUGUAACUUAUCAUUAUUGAUUUUGAAUGGAAGUUUGCAACUGCUCCAUUCUUCCUUUUUUAUUGAAAGGCUGCCCAUGUACAGCCGUAGCUGCUGUUAUCUGUGUUGUUUGACUAGCUGCCAUGUUACUGGCUACACUUCCCAUGGAAUAAACCCCCCAAGUGUGGAUGGUAAAUGAGAAAAGCUGGCACAAAAGUAAGAAGGCAGGCAGUGUUCCACUGACACCCCUCAGGAAGUGAUCAACUUGGUCCCAUGUGCCGUACUCUAUGUGCCCAAGCUCCAGGGCCAUUCAUGCACUGGGAAAUAACCACUCAUCCUUCUCUCCUCCCUCCCUCCCUCCAUUCCUCCCUCCCUCCCUCCCUCCCCACAUUCUUUCCUUCCUCCUUCUUUUUUUCAUUCAACAAACAUACUGGGAACAAAGCACCUAAUCAGAUACUGUUCUAGGCAUUUUUAUAUGAGCUGUGUUGUGUAAGACUCAUAAUGUGAAGUUAGUAUUAUUCUCAGUUCAAAAUGAGGAACUGGAGAUUAGAAAAAUUAAAGAAAGUUUUCCAAAGUCACAGAACUAGUAGGUAGUGGAAUCAGGACUUGAAGCUGGGCCUAGAUUAUUUAGAAUUCCCUUUCUCUUCCUCGACUUUCCUCCCCUUUUUCCUCUGUCUCCCUUCCUUCUGCACGUAUUUCCAUCACACUCCGUGUGCCAGGCACCCAACACAGACACUAAGGAUGCCAUAGUGAAUAAGAUGGGCAGGUGCAAACUCUUUCCCAUUCUCUUUCACGGAGCCCUGUGAUCCCUGGGCAUCAUCUCAAACCUACUCAAUUUCUUCUUAAAUGUUCUCUCUCACAUAAUGAACAAAUGUAGCAGAUCAAAGAGCUGUGAUGUUGAAGAUGAAUUAAAUUCAGGGCCUGGGUUUAUUCCUCCUUUGAUCAAGCCCCAAAAGCUCAUGGUUCAAAGAUGUGAUUAAUAAAUCUGAUCACACCCUCCCCUGCUCCAAAACCUCUGGUGCUCCAGGACCUACAGACAUUUCUGUGACAUGAGAAAUGGUAAAGAUCCAGGUCCAGCUGAUAAGCUGAACCACAUGGAAAGGCCGGGGAGAGCCUUUUAAGAAGUGCUUUUCUGUGCGUAACGUGAAAUUCAUGGAUGGAGUGGCGUCAGGCCGCGGAGGCAUUUCUUCAAACUGAGAAGCACGGUGAAGUCUUCAAGGCUGAAAAAUCACCUCUUCAGAGGAAAGCACCCUCAAGACAUGUGCACACCAGUUCAUUUGUGUAUAGCGCCCAUCCGCAUACUCAGAAGUUGGGGGUUAAGAUGAACCAGGGACCUCUGAAGGGAGUUCUGGAGGCCAGAAGUUUAAAAUGAAGAUGCUGGCAGCUGGACCUUCUGGAUGUUCUGAAGGUGAAUCCUUUCCAUGCCUCUCUUCCAGCUUCUGUGGCUCUGGCUAUGAAGAUGGCCACCUGAUGAAGAGCUAAGGCCUCCUGCCACCAGCCGUGUGAGGGAACCAUCUCAGAAGUAGACCCUCCAGCCCCAGCCAAGCCUGCAGGUGGCUGCAGCCCCAGCUGACAUUUGACUGCAACUUCAUGAGAGACCCUGGACCAGAAUGAUCCAGCUAAGCCACUCCUGGCU